UGGAAGGAACUGGAAGUGUGAGCUGGCAUCUUUGAGUAUAUCACAGAUGGCUAUCUUUCAUAUUUUAUAUGAAGUCUGUCUUUAUCUGCAAGAGUUUCUGUUUAUUAGACUGUCACUACACCAUAUUGGAAGCAGAAUUCCAGUUCUAUCAAUGAGAAUGCUGAUCAUUGUGGGGGUUAAGUAAUUUGCCCAAAGCCACACAGUUAAUGGGCUUCAAACCAAGGUGGACACUGUCCCUUGGGGUGUGAUUCCCAUUGCCAAAUUCUCCUUCCAAAGCCUUUUGAGUUGGGCAACAUCCUGCCCUGGAGCAGAACACUCUGCACUGUCUGUUUCCCGGCCAGGCCCCUCCCUCAUUCCCUAGAAGUUGGGCAGUUCUCGUCUGGUGGAGGCCUAUCCCACAACUAUGAAAGAACCACUUCAAAUCAGUCCUGCUGAAGAUGUUUGAGGAGAUUUGAGAAGUCACAGCUUGAGCAUUCAGUUUUGAAAUAUUUUUAAAUGUUUUCCAAGAAAUAUGACUAAAUUCAUCAAGGAUUUGAAUACCUCAGUGUUUGUUCUCAUUGCAAAAGUUGUGUUCACAUAGCUUGGUGUUUGCAAAAUGAACGUGUCUCGUACUAUAUCUGACAUUGUGGAGACCUCAACAUGCAAAGCUGUGUCAAAGAACAUUCUGUGGUUUGCAAAUGCCAAAGACAAGACAGAAGUCUUGACUUUAAGUUCUAUACACCUCUCUAAAUAUAAGACCUUUUGUUUUCUGCAUUCUCACUUAGGUGUAUAGCCCCGAUUGGCUCCCUGAAGUAGCUAAUUGUAGGGUUUGUGUUUUUAUAGUACAGCUUUGGUGAACAGAGUGAAGAAAAUUCUCAAGAGCAACUAUCAAAAAUAUAUACUGGUAUAAUGUCCUCCAGAUCAUAAAAGUGAUGUUAAAUACUCAAUGGAGUAAGAAGUACUCUGCAUGGACUCAUUGUUCUUUGGAGACUUUAAAGUCAGCUUUCCAGGACUGGCCCAAGUCAGCAGAUGGAGAAGAGAUAUUAUACAAGCAGCUCUGGAUGGGGACAGAGAGUGGUCAUGAUGCCCAGAGACUUGCAAGGGGAACUAGAGCAUCCAAGAGGUCAGGGGCAUGUGGCUGCUGGCUCACCAACCUGAUACAUGUACAUGUCAGUGGAUUUUCUGGAAGGAAUGGUAUCUCAUGCACUAUUAAAAAACUCUACCAUAAGUGAGUACUCCAGGGGGGAGUAUAGAAGCAUCUUGGUAAGUGCCUAUAAAGCUAGUUUUCUUGCUCUAGAACCCUUUCUCAGGGUGUUCCAUGGUGUUUGGAGGGCUCUAGUUGAAGGAUAUCUUGUGUCAGACAUCUUUAGAAGAUAUUCCAGGAGGUCUUUAAUGGCCUCCUGGGUUUGGGGUCAUGAAGCUGAGAGCCCCAGUUCCAAGGGAUCUUCUUUUGGUGUCAGAGGUUGGCCUACAGCACCUAUACAGGUAUGUCACCUUGGAUGAUAUUCAACCAUUCAAUAGCGAGGAAGGAGCCACAGAGCAGGACCCCUAUAAAUUUGGGACAUCUUGAAAUGAAUGAAUGUUUUGUAAUAUCCAAGCAGAACAUGUGAUAUCCCUAAGAACUACAUCUUGCAAAGGCCCUAAGGGUCUCAGGCAAUUCCGUGCUUGAAAAUAGUGAACCCACCAGUAAAUCAUUGCCUGCGAGUAUCUACAUCUUCAAGGGACCAGGGAAGCCAUAUUAUCUGCUGUCACUCCCCAAAUGAUGUAUUUACCUUGUAAGUCUGGUAAGAAUUCUGACUCCACGCUGUGUAAUUCUGAUCAAAUCAUGAAGUCAUAUAUUUUCUUCCCAACUAUAUCACAAUCCAAGAGAUAGGUACUAAACCAGCCAUCUUCUAAUUAUUGAAGUUAAGAUGUAAAAUAAUCAUUAGAUGUUAAACACAAAAUUGAAUUAUGAUUAUUCAUCAGCUCACACUCAUACAUAGUUUAAAAGUGUCUACAGAUAACCUAAUGAUAAGUGAAGGAGAGAAUGUAAAAGCAGACAGAAGAAGGCUUUCCCUCAGAAGCCCAUCCUGAUGGCAAGGUCAAAUUCACCAGGAUCUCUUUCUCUGAGAAACAAUAUCUCUCUCUUAAAAGCUGACAUCUUGGGGCCUCCCUGGUGGUGCAAGGGGUUAAGCACCGCACUAUGAAGCAAUCUGCAGCUUCUGCAGCCUGGGUUCGAUCCCUGGCCAGCCAGAGAGCAACCCACAUGGCGAAGCAGACUUCUCCUGUCUUGCCUGCUACUCCCCUCAGCAGUAUAUUUCAGUCAGUCUGCCUGUUCUGUUCCCCACUCUGUCUCUGGUGAAUCCUCUUACCCUCCACACCUCUGGCCUG